rnacentral:piRNA from 7 species
GGGUCGGGGUUUCGUACGUAGCAGAGCAGC